UGGAACAAGGUGAGAAGUUUCUGUAUGGGUCACCGAUCAGGUUCACAUGUUUUGAAAAGCUAUUUCAAGUAAUAUUAGGCUCCGAAAAAAACCCUAGAGUGUAUUGCUAGCAUUAGUACAGGCACGGGGUUGUGCAAGCUUUGUUUGUGGCUGUCAACGAGCACUGAGGGAGCUUUUUAUUACCAAAACGAUGUGAUCAAAUUGCUGGUGAAAUGAGAAUUUUACAAAAGCUGCAGUGGUUUUAAAGCAAUUUUAGUAAAAAUACUGCUUACCUUUCAACCUCUUUGAUGGGUUUUGCUGCUUAAAGAAGUUGGUGGAAGCCAGGGAAGCAGUCAGACCUCGUGCACGCCCUUUUGCAAGGCUGCCUUGGGGCCUGAGAGCUUCACCACCCUCUUGAGGCAUAGCUUUCCUCCAGACAAGGGAGCAUCUCAGCUGCAGAGCAGUUUGGGGCUGCCUGUGUUGCUCUGGGCUGCUCCUCACUCAGCCGUGAGCACGUGAGCUCCAGAGUGGAUACCUUCUGGAGAAUAGGAGAAUUGCUUUGAUCACUUCAUUUUCUCAAUAUAGAAGCUAAAUGAAACAAAGAAGGCAAACAAGCUCUUGCAUGCAAAGUGGUAUAUGCUGUCUAACCAGGUCCCAGGAGGGUCCCAGGCCAGGCAAAAUCUGUAAGUCUGGGGGGUUUGGGAUUUCUUUUUUCUUACGCCAAAGAGUUGUCCUGUAUUUCAAAAAGUGUCAUUACAUUUCUCCCCUGAAGGGUUAUCAUUGUUAUUAGAAUGAAAAUGAACCUGUGGGUGUGACUGUUUUUUGUCUUCCUGAUCCUAUUUUGCAUCUAAACAAAUAAUCUAAUCACUGGUAAAUAAGAGAACGGAUCUUGAGGGGCAGGAAGAGAGAAAGGAAGCUCUUGAUCUAUGCAACACUGAGCCCGAAUGAGCCAAACCAGACCCAUGACCAGCACACUCAUGGGAGGUGCUUGUAUGGCCUUAAGAAUUCCCAGCUGGUUGCUUUAAUACUCCCGUAAAACAUAUUUUUUUGCAAAUUAAGCCUUCAUGUGAAAAGGUAAUGUAGGGCUCAAGCUGCAUCCCACGGACUGGAGUAUUUCUGCAGGGGUGAUGUAGAAGCAACACCUACUUUGGAAAAAUUCAACAACCGACUACCUGUAAUUUGGGGACCAAAUUACUGCGGUGAAGAGGCAUUGGAGAGCUACAGCUUAAGAAACCAAAAUGAGCACAGUGUAGAAGGAGAGCGCUUUGAGAUGGUGUUUCCAGCUGGUGCAUAACCUUGCCAGCAGGAUGAAAGCUGCCUUCCCCAAAUUAAAGCUGCCUUUUCCAAAUUAAAGCUGCCUAAGGAGCGCAGGAGCGAAACUCACUGUCAUGGUAAGAAAACUGAUCAGAUGGUUCAUUGCCCUGGUUCAUGGAAAUGAUCCUUGAGGGCUGUUUGCAAAAGCUGUGUGGUGACAAGUGCUCCCACCUGAAGAAAAAGGACCACCAGAGCCCUGGAGCAUGCUGCCCAGAAUGCCAGAGGGUGGGAGCUCAGGAUCACAGCCGGUCUCCAGGGAGAAAAAGCUUUGCCUUCCGCCGCCCCGUCCUGGAGGGAAGAUGCUGCAAUUAAAGCUGUCCCUCGAGGCAGGCAGAGGCUGCUCCUUUACAUCUGAUGGCUUGGGUGGAACCUGGGGCUACAGGAGGAAAAAGAAAGAAAGGACUUGCAGUGCCUGAGCUGCUUUUUGGGAACCUCCAUGGACACACAGCCAAGAAAAUCCCAUGAGCUCAAGCAAUGCCUACGGGAUCUCCAGGGGAAAGUGCGGUAGUCAGUCAUCCAUUGUUUUGUAGGGGUUUGCUAAGAAGAUUUUUAUUCCCCUCUUCUAGGUGAGAAGACUAGAGCUUGUGAGAGGGAGGGUGUGGGCAUGUUCACUGACUGCCCGUGGUGGGGAGAGCCGACCUGGCUGUGUGGCUCAGCAGAGGUGGGCAAGAUGGACAAAAUACAGAUUGUUAGAGGUCUAAAAAAGUGAAGGAAAAAGGAAUCCAGUAACAGGAAUAAGGGAGCAUCAAACAAAAGGGGAAGAUGUGCAGGAGAAAAGUGCUUUUGUGUCACUCCAAGGGCACAGCGGGUGCCAGGCAUAUCUGGCACCGUGCCCUCUCUGCCCUCGGGUGCUCCUCUUCUGGCACAGCACCAGCUUCCAAGUCACAUUUCAGAAUGUCUCAGUGGUCCGGGGUUUCUGAUCCAUGUGUUGUCAAUGCUCGGGAGGGCAACCGCUGGGCUCCAUGGGCACGCGGUAGCCAGGCUGCGUCUUUUUAGUGGUGGAACUGGGACCAGAGCUGAGCCCUCUUGGUUACCUCUGGUCUAUGUACUCGCCGUGGUUGUGAAUCUCAAAUUCCAGGUUGUAAUGAGAUUUUCAGAACAAAAAGUGGUAUUAAAGAAAAAUUAAUGAAUGUCAAAAUCCAUGUAACCCCCUUCCCCUCCCCCAGUUCCUUUUACUCAUGUGCCACAUGACACCCGCAGGGUUGUAAUUUCCAGUUCCAUCUUCUCUGGCUGACCACAGAUAUGAAUUCAUUCACAUAGCAAGGAAGGAAUUAAGUGUUAAUUUAACAAAAAGAAAAGGAUACUAAGGAAUUAGAUUAGAUUCUUAAAUUAAAUAUAAACCUGUAAAAGGGCUUUUUGAGUGUUCCCCGCCUGCCUCCUUGAUAAUUCUCUGCAGUAAUAAAACAAAAUGGUAUCAAUUGUCUGGCAAAAUGCUGAGGCACAAUCUGUAGGCAGUAGGACGGAAAUGCACGGAUCCUUAUAGUGUCAUUUUUCUUGAAGAAACUUGGAAAUUUUGAUUUGUCUCCUUGCUUGCGCUGCAGUUGGUGCACCCGGACAGAGCGGCUCAGCCUCGGAGCAGCUGAAACUGCUGGCAGGAAUAGGUGGGUUCAAGGCAUGGCCGGGGCUGAGCAUCAUCCUCCACCAUCUGCAAGGGCUAUACUUAGCAAGGUAUUGAGGCUUGUGGAUCAAAUUUUAAAUAGGGCUUUAAAAGCACUUUCUCUAACGAGCAUCCGAUCGUGCUUCAUAAUUAAAGCUCGCAGUGCAGCCGGCUGUGCCUGCAGAGGAGGAGGCAGACCCUCCGCACUGCUACUCGCUUCUCUCUUAUUUUCCUGGAUGGCAGAGGAGGCUUCAGAGACCUGUCACAACGGAGAUAAGGACAGCAGCAAAUUAGGAUUUAGGAAUUUCUUCUGGGACUUUUUCUAGGCAAAAAGAGGUUUUUAAUUGGUUUUCAGUUCUGCGGCAGCCAAAGGUCUUUAAUGAGGUUUUACAUUGUUCUCCAGAAUCGUGCUCCUUUUCUACGUUUAGCUAACCAUGAUUUGGGUAUCUUUAAACAGAUAAAAACGUGCUAUUUGUCUUUGUUACAAAAAAAUCAAGGUAUUGGGUGAUUUCAUGUAGAUGCUAAAUAGCAAAUGAAUUGUUGAAACUUAAGGCUUCUAAAGACAGUGUUUUAGUCUAAUGCUGCUAUAUUUACCUUAUCUGAUAAAUGUAGUAUUAAAGGCUUGAUAACUUAAUUUGCAAUUAUUUUAUGUUUUCUUUGCAUUAUUUA